rnacentral:sRNA from 1 species
GUUAUUGAACAGUCUAUUUGUGACAAGGACCGCUGAUAGUGUGAGCGUUCACAAGUCAAUUAGUUUGGGUUAAAUCUUUGUACAACAUUUUUAUGUUGAUUACAUUCCAUUGCAGAGUUUCCGCUGUGUGCGUGUUUUUUUGUGGGUGUAAAAGUUUGUGUUUUCAAUCUGAAAUAUUUUGUUGUAUAGUACAGAUGUCUUGUGGUGGAGAGUUAAGGUGCCUGGUUAGCAAACCGAGUGGUUCCGAAUUCGAAGAUUUGGAUUUUUUACUUGGAAAGUAAACGCGGUUCGUCUUUGUGCUGGCCACAUAACACUCUCCUUCAUUAUGGUACAAAUAGACAGAUGAUCUUUGCUACAUCAUCUGCCUCAUGGCCAGCUAGAUCUGAAUGGGAGAUAAUUUGAGUUCAUUUCAAAUCUGAAACACUUUUUGAGUUGUGUUUGUGCUUGAAGGGAAACUGACCUGAGGGCUGUGUUGAUGUGUUAACAGAGGAGUUAUGAGUUUGGAUUUCUUGAUUGAGGAUUUUUGUUUUUUUCUAUUGUGUUAGUAAAUAGAGACAUGUAAAUUCGAAUUGGAGAUUGUGACAUUAUUUCUUUUGAUCGGGGAUAUUAAUUGAUCAUAGUUGGAUUGUGCUUCUGCAAUCGGAGAGAUACCUGAGAGGACGGGCCUAGACUAUAUAAAGGAACCAGUGUUUGAUCACACAACAGUUAUUGAGAUGAAAUUCUAUCCAACCAUUGUAUGAAUGAGCCAUACACAAUUCAUGUCGUUACAGUAAGUUCUAACUGUGUAUAGUAUGUAUACAAUGUUUUUUUUCU